rnacentral:rRNA from 1 species
AGCUCCAAUAGCGUAUAUUAAAGUUGUUGCGGUUAAAAGCUCGUAGUUGGAUUUCUGCUUUGCGAGGCCGGUCACCACUACGUGGUUGUAUCUGGUUCUAGCAGGGCAUCCUCGUCAAAAUGGUUACUGUGCUUGAUUGCAUGGUGCUGUGUUGGCGACUUUUACUUUGAGGAAAUUAGAGUGUUCACGGCAGGCAAUCGCCCUGAAUAUAUUAGCAUGGAAUAAUAAUAUAGGAUCUGAUGCCUAUUUUGUUGGUUUCUAGGUGUUAGAUAAUGAUUAAUAGGGACAAUUGGGGGCAUUCGUAUUAAGGCGUCAGAGGUGGAAUUCUUGGAUUGCCUUACGACGAACUACUGCGAAAGCAUUUGCCAAGGAUGUUUUCA